CAAGAAUCAGUUCACCCUGCCUGAAUUCCUAACCCACAGAAUCAUGAGUAUAACGAGAAGAUCAACAAGCUACCUGGAAGCAGAUGUGAAGGAGAAAAAUAACAAAACCUAAGCUCCUGCCAGAGAUUUAGUUGCAAAAUCAG